rnacentral:rRNA from 1 species
CCUACGGGUGGCAGCAGUGGGGAAUAUUGCACAAUGGGGGAAACCCUGAUGCAGCGACGCCGCGUGAGUGAAGAAGUAAUUCGGUAUGUAAAGCUCUAUCAGCAGGGAAGAAAAUGACGGUACCUGAGUAAGAAGCCCCGGCUAACUACGUGCCAGCAGCCGCGGUAUUACGUAGGGGGCAAGCGUUAUCCGGAUUUACUGGGUGUAUAGGGAGCGUAGACGGCAGUGCAAGUCUGGAGUGAAAGGCGGGGGCUCAACCCCCGGACUGCUCUGGAAACUGUACGGCUGGAGUGCAGGAGAGGUAAGCGGAAUUCCUAGUGUAGCGGUGAAAUGCGUAGAUAUUAGGAGGAACACCAGUGGCGAAGGCGGCUUACUGGACUGUAACUGACGUUGAGGCUCGAAAGCGUGGGGAGCAAACAGGAUUAGAUACCCUUGUAGUC